rnacentral:rRNA from 1 species
AUGAACGCUGGCGGCGUGCCUAAUACCUGCAAGUCGAGCGAACGGACGAGAAGCUUGCUUCUCUGAUGUUAGCGGCGGACGGGUGAGUAACACGUGGAUAACCUACCUAUAAGACUGGGAUGACUUCGGGAAACCGGAGCUAAUACCGGAUAAUAUUUUGAACCGCAUGGUUCAAAAGUGAAAGACGGUCUUGCUGUCACUUAUAGAUGGAUCCGCGCUGCAUUAGCUAGUUGGUAAGGUAACGGCUUACCAAGGCAACGAUGCAUAGCCGACCUGAGAGGGUGAUCGGCCACACUGGAACUGAGACACGGUCCAGACUCCUACGGGAGGCAGCAGUAGGGAAUCUUCCGCAAUGGGCGAAAGCCUGACGGAGCAACGCCGCGUGAGUGAUGAAGGUCUUCGGAUCGUAAAACUCUGUUAUUAGGGAAGAACAUAUGUGUAAGUAACUGUGCACAUCUUGACGGUACCUAAUCAGAAAGCCACGGCUAACUACGUG